rnacentral:tRNA from 1 species
GGAGAUUUAGCUCAGCGGUAGAGCGCUUGCCUAGCAAGCGCAAGGCCCUGGGUUCGGUCCCCAGCUCUG